rnacentral:tRNA from 1 species
UGCGCCGAUAGUGUAGCGGUUAUCACCGAGGCUUGCCAAGCCUCAAACUCGGGUUCGAAUCCCGGUCGGCGCAUC